AUUUUGGACAAUGGGGGCAACCCUCAUCCAGCCAUCCCGCGUGUGCGAUGUAGGCCUGCGGGUUGUAAAGCACUUCUGGUAGGCAAGAAAAAGCCUGGGCGAAUACCCUGGGCGACUGACGGUACCUGCAUAAUAUGCACCGGCUAACGACGUGCCAGCAGCCGCGGUAAUACGUAGGGUGCAAGCGUUAAUCGGAAUUACUGGGCGUAAAGCGUGCGCAGGCGGUUCGGCAAGUAAGAUGUGAAAUCACAGGGCUUAACCUUGGAACUGCAUUCUUAGCUACCGGGCUAGAGUAUGUCAGAGGGAGGUAGAAUUCCGCGUGUAGCAGUGAAAUGCGUAGAGAUGCGGAGGAAUGCCGAUGGCGAAGGCAGCCCCCUGGGAUAAUACUGACGCUCAUGCACGAAAGCGUGGGGAGCAAAC
rnacentral:rRNA from 1 species